GUACACGCUGUGACUAGCAUAUCAAUAAGCGGAGGAAAAGAAACUAACAAGGAUUCCCCUAGUAACGGCGAGUGAAGCGGGAAGAGCUCAAAUUUGAAAUCUUAAAGGGUUUCCCUUUACGAAUUGUAGUUUAAAGAAGUGUUUUCUGUUGAGGUUUUGGUAAAAGUUCUUUGGAAUAGGACAUCAUAGAGGGUGAGAAUCCCGUAUUUGACCUUUACUUUCAACUUUGUGAUACACUUUCAAAGAGUCGGAUUGCUUGGGAAUGCAGUCCAAAAUGGGUGGUAAAUUUCAUCUAAAGCUAAAUAUUGGCGAGAGACCGAUAGCGAACAAGUACCGUGAGGGAAAGAUGAAAAGAACUUUGAAAAGAGAGUUAAACAGUACGUGAAAUUGUCAAAAGGGAAGCGUUUGACACCAGUGUUGUUUUUCUGAAAAUCAAUUAAAGAACUGUUUAUGCUAAGCUGUUUAGACUUUAUCAGCUAAUCUGUUUAGUUUUGAGCUUUUCUUUAAUGCACUUUUCAGUUAACAAGUCAACAUCAAUUUCUUUUGCUGUAAAAAAGCUUGAGGAAGGUGGCUUGAGAUUCGUCUUAAGUGUUUAUAGCCUCUUGCCUAUGCAGUCGGAGAGAUUGAGGUCUGCAGCGUAGAUCCUUCGGGGCUAAAUGCAUUUGUGCUAAGUUAUAGCAUUUUAUAGACAACUUGUUGACUAUGAUUUGUCUUGUAGCUUACUCGCUUAUGUUAUUUUACCUACGCUUAGGAUGUUGAAGAUGUAGCACAUCAU
rnacentral:rRNA from 1 species